rnacentral:rRNA from 1 species
AGAGUUUGAUCCUGGCUCAGAUUGAACGCUGGCGGCAUGCCUUACACAUGCAAGUCGAACGGUAACAGGUCUUCGGAUGCUGACGAGUGGCGAACGGGUGAGUAAUACAUCGGAACGUGCCCGAUCGUGGGGGAUAACGCAGCGAAAGCUGUGCUAAUACCGCAUACGAUCUACGGAUGAAAGCGGGGGAUCGCAAGACCUCGCGCGGACGGAGCGGCCGAUGGCAGAUUAGGUAGUUGGUGGGAUAAAAGCUUACCAAGCCGACGAUCUGUAGCUGGUCUGAGAGGACGACCAGCCACACUGGGACUGAGACACGGCCCAGACUCCUACGGGAGGCAGCAGUGGGGAAUUUUGGACAAUGGGCGCAAGCCUGAUCCAGCCAUGCCGCGUGCAGGAUGAAGGCCUUCGGGUUGUAAACUGCUUUUGUACGGAACGAAAAAGCUCUCUCUAAUACAGGGGGUGAAUGACGGUACCGUAAGAAUAAGCACCGGCUAACUACGUGCCAGCAGCCGCGGUAAUACGUAGGGUGCAAGCGUUAAUCGGAAUUACUGGGCGUAAAGCGUGCGCAGGCGGUUAUGUAAGACAGAGGUGAAAUCCCCGGGCUCAACCUGGGAACUGCCUUUGUGACUGCAUAGCUGGAGUGCGGCAGAGGGGGAUGGAAUUCCGCGUGUAGCAGUGAAAUGCGUAGAUAUGCGGAGGAACACCGAUGGCGAAGGCAAUCCCCUGGGCCUGCACUGACGCUCAUGCACGAAAGCGUGGGGAGCAAACAGGAUUAGAUACCCCGGUAGU